AUCUACUGUCAUACCAUCCUGAACAGGCCUGACCUCUCUGAUCUUGGAAGCUAAGUUAGGUCGGGCUGCUUAGUAGUUA
rnacentral:rRNA from 1 species